UACGUAGGGUGCAAGCGUUAAUCGGAAUCACUGGGCGUAAAGGGCGCGUAGGCGGCCGCUCAAGUCGGGGGUGAAAGCCUGUGGCUUAACCACAGAAUUGCCUUCGAUACUGUUUGGCUUGAGACCGGAAGAGGUGAGUGGAACUGCGAGUGUAGAGGUGAAAUUCGUAGAUAUUCGCAAGAACACCAGUGGCGAAGGCGGCUCACUGGUCCGGUUCUGACGCUGAGGCGCGAAAGCGUGGGGAGCAAACAGG
rnacentral:rRNA from 1 species